GUGGGGAAUCUUGCGCAAUGGGCGAAAGCCUGACGCAGCCAUGCCGCGUGAAUGAUGAAGGUCUUAGGAUUGUAAAAUUCUUUCACCGGGGACGAUAAUGACGGUACCCGGAGAAGAAGCUCCGGCUAACUUCGUGCCAGCAGCCGCGGUAAUACGAAGGGGGCUAGCGUUGCUCGGAAUUACUGGGCGUAAAGGGCGCGUAGGCGGACAGCGUAGUCAGAGGUGAAAGCCCAGGGCUCAACCUUGGAAUUGCCUUUGAUACUGGAUGUCUUGAGUUUGGGAGAGGUGAGUUGAACUCCGAGUGUAGAGGUGAAAUUCGUAGAUAUUCGGAAGAACACCAGUGGCGAAGGCGACUCACUGGCCCAAUACUGACGCUGAGGCGCGAAAGCGUGGGGAGCAAACAGGAUUAGAUACCCCUGUAGUCC
rnacentral:rRNA from 1 species